rnacentral:lncRNA from 1 species
UCCCUCCCUCCCUUUCUCGCUCUAUCUCUCUCUAACUCUCUCUCCCCCCUCUUUCUAUGUUUUUGCUGACUCUCUCUCUCUCCGUGUUUCAAUUACCCUAAUUUUUUCAUUACUUUGUGUAUUUUUAAUUUUGUAGUGUAUAUGAUUUAAACUUUAAUCUGUGUUUGAAUUGUUGUUUAUGUAUUCUCUAGUACAUAGACUAAUACUUAAUCGAGCGUCCUAUUUUUUGGGUAAAUGAUUCUGCUCUGUUUUUUUUCUUUCCCUGCGCCUUUGUUGGAUUACAACUACAUUUUUCAAUUUAUGAAGAAUGCAUCAGAUUUUUCGUACAUGAUUCCUGCCUCUACUUGUUAUUUGCAGUUACGUGUUAUUUUU